rnacentral:rRNA from 1 species
UACGUAGGGCGCAAGCGUUGUCCGGAAUUAUUGGGCGUAAAGAGCUCGUAGGCGGUGUGUCACGUCGGCCGUGAAAACCUGCAGCUUAACUGUGGGCGUGCGGUCGAUACGGGCAUCACUGGAGUUCGGCAGGGGAGACUGGAAUUCCUGGUGUAGCGGUGAAAUGCGCAGAUAUCAGGAAGAACACCUAUGGCGAAGGCAGCUCUCUGGGACGGUACUGACGCUGAGACGCGAAAGCGUGGGGAGCGAACAGG